AUGAAGCAAAAGAUUGUCAUCCAGUUGAGCAUAUCAUGCGACAAGAGCCGGUCCAAAGCCCUGACGCUGGCCGCCAGAGCAGCCGGGGUGACAUCCAUGGGGAUAACCGGCGACGCCAGGGACCAGCUGGAGGCGGUCGGCGACGGCGUCGACCCUGUGUGCCUUGUCAGCUGCCUCCGAAAGAAGCUCGGCCACGCCCAAAUCAUCAAGGUGGAGGAAGUGAAGAAGCCGGAGGAGAAGAAGAAGGAUGAGCCGAAGCCGGCGCCGGCCGUGGCGGUGCACCCGCCGCCGUACUACUACCCACCCAGCUACUACCACCACCAGUACCAGCCGGCGCACAUGGUCGUCUGCGACGAACAGCCCAGCAACUGCCGGACCAUUGUGGAAUCAAAGCAAACGCUAUAUGGUUAUAUGAAUCUCUGUCAACGCCCCUGA
rnacentral:rRNA from 1 species